UAGGGAAUUUUGCGCAAUGGGGGAAACCCUGACGCAGCAACACCGCGUGAAUGUUAAGCCCUUCGGGGUGUAAAGUUCUGUCAGUAGGGACGAAAUUUGACUGUACCUACAAAGGAAGCACCGGCUAACUCCGUGCCAGCAGCCGCGGUAAUACGGGGGGUGCAAGCGUUGUCCGGAAUCAUUGGGCGUAAAGCGUUCGUAGGCGGUAUAUCAAGUCUGGUGUUAAAGCCCGGGGCUCAACCCCGGGACUGCAUUGGAAACUGUGUAGCUAGAGUGUCGGAGAGGUAAGUGGAAUUCCUAGUGUAGCGGUGAAAUGCGUAGAUAUUAGGAGGAACACCAGUGGCGAAGGCGGCUUUCUGGACUGUAACUGACGCUGAGGUGCGAAAGCCAGGGGAGCGAACG
rnacentral:rRNA from 1 species